CAUAUUCCCCCUCAUUUGAGAGAAUGAGCCACGAAUAGAAAGAAGAGAGGAAGAGAAGAACCUUAAACUUCACUAUUCAUCACAAAUUUCAAAUCCACGUAACUUUCAACUGUAGAUCGAAGAUCCGUUUGUAAUUACGCAUCGCUCUCCACUUCCUCUUCGAUUCUAUACCAUUUUUAAGGGAAAGUUCUAGCAUGGAUUGUAGUUAGCUUCCACACAAGUUUUGAACGAGAUAAGAGUGAAUUGAGUGUUUGGCAUUGGAUUGUUGCGGAAUUGAAUGCUUGGGCUGUUUGCGGAGCACUUGGUGGAGGCUUAGUGCCGUUGAUUGACGUUUCGGUGUGAUCGAGAAGAGAAUUCAAGUGUUGAAAAACUGCCGUCAAUAAGGUACGGGUCUUGAUUUCGGGUAGGAAUUAUGUAAAAUUAUGUGAAAACUUGUGUUAAUUGCUUUUAAGAUAGUGUUGGAUGAUGAUUGUUGAUGAUGGUAUGGGGCUUAGUGUGUAUCAUUGUGUUGAAGAAUAUUGUGAUAUGUUGUGAAUUUGAGAAUUAAAUGUUUUGGUAAGUUUAAUAGAAAUUGAUGGUGUUGUAAUGUAUGUAUGCAUGAUUGAUUUAAUGGAUAUUGUGUUGAAUUGCCUAUGAAAA